UCGCCUUCCCCGUCGGUUGCACCUCCCAGCGCUGCCGCACCUGCCAAGCUCCGCCGUCUGGAUCCACAUCCCCAUGGCCAGAACGAGUCCUCCUCGAGGAGCCGCGCAUCCUCUACCUACUCCAACUGCGCACGUCCUCUGCUAGGUCGACUCCCGCCGCCUACGACGAUCGCUGCCGUCAGAUCUGCUCCAACUUGAGCGCCCCCAGGUACUGAAGGGUAAUGGAUUUGAAGGUUGCUAUAUCUUGAGUUGUCCCAUUGUCUUACUAAAUUCAGGAUUCAACUUAGGAGAGUGUACAGAAUAUCCAGGUUUGUAUUGUUUUCGGUGUAUGUUGGUCAUGCAUCGGAUGUCACUCAGUUUCUAGGAAAUUCAAGAUGGCAUGUAAGCUUCUCCUAUUUGAUGUAUUUUUACUUUCUCAAAAUCUCUUUAUUAAUACCAAUGAUGAUUUUAUUUCUGCCUGAUGACUUGCUGUCAUAUUGUUUAGCAAAGAAACAGACAAACAAGGAGAGAAAACUUAAACAAGAGAGAUGUAUGAGGAUGUCAGCGUCUCAGCAAACAUGUAUUGUGUGAGGACACCCUUCGUCCGACCUAAUCUUGACGAUCAUCUGUAGCAGCACUUCGAAACUCCCAGGCUGUUUUCAUCAGCAAGCUUACAGCUGACCACAUGAUGGAACUCGAUAAUACUACACUGUACGAUGUACUUGAGAUUCCAAUGAAUACCCGUCGAAGCGAUGUGGUCAUCAGCAUGAAAGCAAUACAGGGCCGCCUUUAUAUCUUGGGUCACUCCAUAGCAGGGAGCAAGAGUGGGCACAUCUGAGUUCAGAUAUUCAGUCACUGUUUUCCAAUCCAUCUCAAGCUCCACAGGUCCUCUGGAAACUUUUGCCAGAGCAGCCAAACCAGGGCUAUCCGGGCUUCAGCUUCCUCCACACUGUCGGAAACUGGUAACU